UUUUACCCUAUUUGAAAAAGGAAACAUAAAAUAUACCCACCCAAAAUUAAACAUAUAAAAUGUACCCAUUUUGAGGUUGAAAGGACUAAGAUACCCUUAAAACAAAAAGAAAAUACCAAACAAAUCCCCUCUCCAAAAAAACACCAAAAAUCGCAACCUCUUCCCCCCACCCCCAAAAAAAAUUGCAGCCUCUCCCCAUCUCUCUUUCUCUCAGCGCGCCUCCGCCUCCGCCGCCGCCGCCCUGGCGUCGUCGCCGCAGCCACAGAUCCCGUCGUCGUGGCCGCCCAGAUCCGCCUCCGUCGCGCGCCGCCGUUUUUCUCUCCAGCGCGCUUCCGGCGCCUCCACGCACGCCUCCGCCGCAGCCUCCCGUCUCAGCCGUCCAGCCUCUCCUCCUCCUCUGCCUCGCCGUGACUCCUCUCCAAAUCACAGGCGCAACCUUCUUCUUCUUCUUCUUCUUCUUCUUCUUCUCUCUCCCAUCUCUCUCUCAGCGCGCCUCCGCCGCCCUCCAGCGUGCCUCCGCCUCCGCCGACCUAGCGCCGUCACCGCAGCCACAGAUCCCGUCGCCGUGGCCACAGAUCCACCGCAACCUUCUUCUUCUUCUUCUUCUUCUUCUUCUUCUCUCUCUCUCUACCGAUUCCCCCACCUGCACGAUUUCCGAUCUGAUGUCGCACGAUUUCCGAUCUGAUGUCGCACGAUUUCUGAUCUGAAGUUUGAUUUUUGAAAUUGUGCCAAGAUCUGAAGUUUGUUUUUUGAAUUUGUGCCAAAAAUGUUCAGUGCUCGACGGUUCACAUUGCUCGACACUCAAUGCUCGACACUUAAUAUCGAGCAAUAGUUCAAUUUGAACUAUUGCUCGUCUUGCUCGACAUUGAACUAUUGCUCGACAUGCUCGACAGUUCUUAAUUGCUCGACAUGCUCGACAGUUCUUAAUUGCUCGACAUGCUCGACAGUUCUUAAUUGCUCGACACUCGAUGUUCGAGGCGUCGAGCAAUAGUUCAAUUUAAACUAUUGCUCGACAUGCUCGAUGCUCGAUAGUUCAAUGCUCGACGCUUCAGUGUCGAGCAAUGCGAGCAAUGCGCGAAUUACACAUAGGGGUAAAAAUGUCCUAAGUGGGUAGAUUUUAUUGUUUUAAAAAAAGUGGGUAUAUUUUAUGUUUCAUCUUUCAAAAAGGGUAUAUCACAUUUUGCCUCUUUCUUUUAUGUACAUUUUAAGCCAACUUUUUUAUUGGAUCAUGUGAAACUAUAUUACUUAAAUUGCGUAUCGAUUUAUUUGAAAAUAACUACUCCCUCCGUCCCAAUAAUGAAGACACACUUUCCUUAUUGGAACGUCCCAAUAAUAAAGACACACUUCUAAAUAAGGAAAUAAUUAGGGCUUAAGAAUAUCUAAUUAAUUGCACCUUAAUUAAGGUAUAAAUAUGUCACAAAAAAACCCUAAUUUCUAAACACAUCUCUCACUCUCCUCAUCUCCCUCCUUCUCUCCUCCCCCUUCUCGGCCAAGUCGCCGCCGGCGAGCCAUGGCCACCGCCGAGCACCCCACGUCCACCGUCGAGCCACCUCCAGUCUCCUGACUCUUCCUCUGCCACCAGACCCGCCUCCUUCAGAAAUCCCGGCGAGCGCAGCGGUCAUCGACCACCACCGACUGUACCGCCGCGUCUCCACCUCCGGCGAAGUUAAGCCAUACCUUUGGGCCGCCUUGAGCCCUAGACAUCAAUUGGCUUAUUUUCCACCCAAUCCGCCGCCUCAUCCUCUGCCGUUUCCAGAUCUCCACCACCAUCACUAUCACCGGUAUCCACUGGUUCACAGCGAGUCGCCGUCGGAUUCUUUCGCAAUACCGGCGGCAAUUCUUGCAGAAUUUGGUGUUUGUGGAAUCACAGCGCGGGCAUUUCACUAUCAAGAUUUGAUUUUUGAGCGAAUUCUGCAGAUGGGUUGAUGGUUUAAGCUCGUGGUGAGAAAAUCAGAGAAGAUCGGAGAUCGGAGACGUGGGGCUCGGCGCCGGUGGCCGGCAUUGGCAUCAAACGAUGGAGGCGCAGUUGGAUCG